GUGAAUCAUCGAAUUUUUGAACGCAAAUUGCACUCUCUUCGUAGAGUAUGCCUGUUUGAGUGUCAGCCUAAAAAAAAAUCUACAUAGUCUCUUUUUCGCGUUUACAUUCGUCGGAAAUUGGGUCAUCUUAAAUCUUUGGGUUUUAAUCGUCUUAAAAUUUUCUUUACGAUUCCACGAACUUUUCUAAUAUUUACUUCUUAUACUCUUAAGGUAUCUAUCGUUAUUAGACUUGUCAGUUGCAUCUGAUACCGAUCAUAAAUAUUUCGUUACCU
rnacentral:misc_RNA from 1 species